AUUGAACGCUGGCGGCAGGCUUAACACAUGCAAGUCGAGCGAGUGGCGGACGGGUGAGUAAUGUCUGGGAAACUGCCUGAUGGAGGGGGAUAACUACUGAAAACGGUAGCUACUACCGCAUACCAUCAGAUGUGCCCAGAUGGGAUUAGCUAGUAGGUGGGGUAACGGCUCACCUAGGCGACGAUCCCUAGAUGGUCUGAUAGGAUGACCAGCCAAACUGGAACUGGGACACGGUCCGGACUCCUACGAGAGGCAGCAGUGGGGAAUAUUGCACAAUGGGCGCAAGCCUGAUGCAGCCAUGCCGCGUGUAUGAAGAGGGCCUUCGGGUUGUAAAGCACUUUCAGCGGGGAGGCGUUACUCGCAGAAGAAGCACCGGCUAACUCCGUGCCAGCAGCCGCGGUAAUAC
rnacentral:rRNA from 1 species